AGGACGAACGCUGGCGGCGUGCUUAACACAUGCAAGUCGAACGGUGAUCCGGUGCUUGCACCGGUGAUCAGUGGCGAACGGGUGAGUAACACGUGAGUAACCUGCCCCCGACUCUGGGAUAACCCCGGGAAAUCGGAGCUAAUACCGGAUACGAGACGCACAGGCAUCUGUUGCGUCUAGGGAAAGUAAUUUCGGGUCGGGGAUGGACUCGCGGCCUAUCAGCUAGUGGUGGGUAAUGGCCCACAGGCGACGACGGUA
rnacentral:rRNA from 1 species